AAAAAUGCUUGUUAAUUUCAAUUUGGUGCUUGAUAAAAAACGUAUUAACAAUAUAUAUAAGACUUACUCAGUAAGCAGUAACAUUAUUUCUGUUAACAACGAUAAUUUUUGAAUUCAAAUUAUCAGCAGGAUCAGAAUCAUAGAACAUAAUCAUUAUAUUUAUACGAUUCUAAAUCUUAUAUAACACGGAAUCAAUUAACUGUGUUAUUUGUGUUACUUAUACAUAAUAACGAUCUCAACAAAUUUAAUACUGAAUUUGCAUUGGCUAAAGCUGACAUUGUUUGCAAGUUCUAGUCUGAAUACGAUAAUUUACUGUUUACGAACAAGUCCCAAAGAGGUCGUAAGCAGCUCGCAAAAAUCUCUAGUCAGUGUAAACGCAGUAUAAUAGGUAUCUACAAAGCGAAUACUUCAUGAACAACUUUAGCCAGUGUAAAUAAUAUAACAUGCAACGCUUCAUGGACAAUAAAAAUUUCAACAGAAAAUGAUGGAAAACGUGAGAACCAUAUCGUGUCCGUCAUCUUGUCGUAAUUCGCAUCACCGUUAUCCAACAAAUUGCUUUAAUUAUACGACAAUCUAGUUAAUUCGCCAACUCAAUUUACGCUGCACCACCAAACAUAAAAAAGAGGAGGAAGAAGAAAAGAGAGAGGAAAAAAAAAGAAAAAAAA